rnacentral:rRNA from 1 species
AUUGAACGCUGGCGGCAGGCCUAACACAUGCAAGUCGAACGAGUGGCGGACGGGUGAGUAAUGCUUGGGAAUCUAGCUUAUGGAGGGGGAUAACUACGGGAAACUGUAGCUAAUACCGCGUACCAUAGGAUGAGCCCUAGUGGGAUGAGGUAGUUGGUGAGGUAAAGGCUCACCAAGCAGACGAUCUCUAGCUGGUCUGAGAGGAUGACCGGCCACAAUGGGACGGAGACACGGCCCAGACUCCUACGGGAGGCAGCAGUGGGGAAUAUUGCGCAAUGGGGGCAACCUGACGCAGCCAUGCCGCGUGAAUGAAGAAGGCCUUCGGGUUGUAAAGUUCUUUCGGUAGCGAGGCGUUAACUACAGAAGAAGCACCGGCUAACUCCGUGCCAGCAGCCGCGGUAAUAC